UGUGUGUUUGUAAUGUGUUGUUUUUUUUGCGUCUCUGUUCUCCAGAAAAUGCUGGAUGAGCACCUGGAGGACCACAGGGAGGCUCAUCAGAAGCAGCUCAGCCGCCCUCCGAAAUGAGAUCUAAGACGAGCAGAGGAUGCUGGACGAACUCAGAAGAAAAGACACGAGGUGUUGGGGGGGGGGGGGGAGCAGCAGCUGCCUACAAGACGAGAUCUAAGAUGAGCAAAGGAUGCUGGAUGAAUACAUGUCCAUCACUCGAAAACAAAAACCGGACCCGGGGCGGCGACAGAAUUCUCCACAGCUGCCUCCUCCAUCUGAAACUCGCUCUCCAAACACAUCAGAGAGUGCACCAACCUGUCAACAUUGAAAUCAUGGAUCAAAACUCAA